GAUGAACGCUAGCGGCAGGCCUAACACAUGCAAGUCGAGGGGUAACAGAGGGUGCUUGCACCUUGCUGACGACCGGCGCACGGGUGCGUAACGCGUAUGCAACCUACCUUCUACAGGGGGAUAGCCCAGAGAAAUUUGGAUUAAUACCCCAUACGAUCAUUAAUUGGCAUCGAUUGAUGAGGAAAACUUCGGUGGUAGAAGAUGGGCAUGCGUCCUAUUAGUUAGUUGGUGAGGUAACGGCUCACCAAGACAUCGAUAGGUAGGGGCCCUGAGAGGGGGAUCCCCCACACUGGUACUGAGACACGGACCAGACUCCUACGGGAGGCAGCAGUGAGGAAUAUUGGACAAUGGGGGCAACCCUGAUCCAGCCAUGCCGCGUGCAGGAAGACUGCCCUAUGGGUUGUAAACUGCUUUUAUACAGGAAGAAACGCCGCUACGUGUAGCGGUUUGACGGUACUGUAAGAAUAAGGAUCGGCUAACUCCGUG
rnacentral:rRNA from 1 species